rnacentral:rRNA from 1 species
AGAGCGAACGCUGGCGGCAGGCCUAACACAUGCAAGUCGAGCGCCCGUAGCAAUACGGGAGCGGCAGACGGGAUAGUAACACGUGGGAACGCGCCCUUCGGUUCGGAAUAACUCAGGGAAACUUGAGCUAAUACCGGAUACGCCCUUACGGGGAAAGAUUUAUUGCCGAAGGAACGGCCCGCGUCCGAUUAGCUAGUUGGUGAGGUAGUGGCUCACCAAGGCGACGAUCGGUAGCUGGUCUGAGAGGAUGACCAGCAUCACUGGGACUGAGACACGGCCCAGACUCCUACGGGAGGCAGCAGUGGGGAAUAUUGGACAAUGGGCGCAAGCCUGAUCCAGCCAUGCCGCGUGGAUGAUGAAGGCCUUAGGGUUGUAAAGUCCUUUUAACGGGGAAGAUAAUGACGGUACCCGUAGAAUAAGCCCGGCUAACUUCGCGCCAGCAGCCGC